ensembl:lncRNA
CUAUUUUUAAUGUGUUUUUGGAGGAUCUAAGUCCAUAUUUCAUUUCCUAAGUGAACUUGCAGUAAACUUUAAAAAAAAAAAACAAAAAACUUUUAUGGCCUGAAUUUUAUUUAAAAUUUCUCAGAAUGACAAAGUUACUUCUGCAUGCCCUUUUAAAUCUGUGUUUCUGCCUUCACCUGUAUUGCUUUUUCAGCAGUUUCUGAUUUAAAGAAAUCAUUACAAUAGUUUGCUUCUUGAAUUUUAACUUUUUGUUAACUAAUGAAAGAAUCAUUGUGAUUUCUUUAGGAUUAUGCUUAUGUUGACCUGACUGCUAAUGCCAGACUGGUGAUUAAUAACACCAUAAACUGUCUCAGAAACAGCUGAAUACAUCUCAUACAACAUUGCAACUCUUGCAGGUGACUGAAAGCCGCUGCAGCAGAUUGAUCUCUCCACCACAGACAGAAGCAGCGUUCACCCAUUCAGAAUGCCUUGGCUUAAUUCUCUUGAGCAGUAUGAUGCAGGCCAAUGUGAUGCAAAAUGGUAUAAAAGCUUUUGGAAGAGGACAGCUCAAAAGGACACCAUCAAAGGUAGAAGAGCUGAUGGAAACUGCUUUCCUUUAGUGAAUUUCACAGGAAAGCAAGUGAUCACAUCUGUGGUUCAUGAUGUUGCUUUGGGUUCCCCAGACCAGCCAACACACGUGCAGGUAUGAUUUCACUCCUGAGCACUCUUGUUGUGGUCUCAGGGAUUCCUUCAGAAGAUGAAUGGCCCCAAGAAAAGAAAGCUUGACCUUAAGUAAUGAGCCUACUCCAUUCUUCCCUGAAGUCCUAGCAGAGCAGAAUUUGUUCUGUGCACAGCAUGCCUUUCUGUGCAUCAUAUUCCUUCUGUCACCGGUCACUAUUGGUUUUGAAUGCUGGAACAGAAAUUUCUCCAUCUUCUGUGAGCAUCCUUCAGCAUGUGGGAGGUAACUCAUGCCCAAGCUGUUACCUUAGGCAUGGAACACAGGCUCAUACAUGUAAGUAACUGUAAUUUAAUUUGCUCAGAUUUGGCAGAUCUGUAAGGGGUGUGGAGACUGCCUCCUCCCUGAUGUAUCCCAUGGCCUGCUCUUCCAGGGUCUUCUUGUGCUUUGAAACUGUAACCAUUCAUAGAAUCACUAAGGUUGGAAAAGACCACCAAGGUCAUCUAACCCAACCAUCAGCCCAUCACCACCAUGCCCAACGAUGUCCCUCAGUGCCACAUCUAUCCUGUUCUUGAACACUUCCAGGGACAGUGACCCCACUACCACCCUGGGCAUCUUGUUCCAAUACCUCACCAUUCUUUCUGAGUAGAAUUUUUUUCCUAAUAUUCAACCUGAACAUUUCCUGGCACACCUUAAUGACAUUCUCUCUCCUUCUGUUGCUGUUACCUGGGAGAAGAGGCUGACCCCCACUUUGCUACAACCUCAUUUCAGGCAGUUGUUGAGAGUGAUAAGGUCUUCCCUGCUGCUUUCCUGCUGCUGCUUCUCCAGAAGAUGCUCUGUUGCUGCUCCCUCUGUGGGAUUUUGGUCUCGGUUUCUUCUGGAAGAGCAGGGGAAUGGCUGAGGCAAGGGGAAGGGGAGCUGAGGUGAUGACAGUGAGGAGACGCUGUGCAAGAGAGCAAGCACUGUGCUUAGAUCCUAAAUGCUUACAAUCCUGUAUGUAGGAAUAUGUAUCUCUGGCACUGUCUGACCUAGUAUGUUGCAAAUGAAGGUGGGACAGUAGUGCUUUCUGCAAUCUGUUACAGCUGCCAGUGUAACCGUGGUGCAAGUAGGGUAGGAUGAGCUUGAGGUGCGUAAAUAUUGAGCCAGUCUCUGUGGUGUGUCUUUGUGUAGCCACUGCCUGUAGCAGUGUGGGAGAGCAUGGCUUGACCUUGCUAGAUGUGAAGCUGUGGCCACGUGCCUGUAGUUCUGAGUGCUCUGUAGUGCACUGCUCUGUUUCAGCUUCUGCUGACAGCAUUGUAAAACAGUAACACUGUGAAAUUGAACAAGCUCGUGAGUGGAAAUGGGUGAGGGGUGUUUGUCUUCCUCCUGCAGUGGGAUGAACUGUGAGCAGCAGUGCACGGAGCCAUCUCUCAGGGCAUGGAAGAGAGUUCUUUUCUUUUUACACAUUCUAUUCACGUUUUACAUGAUUUUCAUUGUAUUCUCAAGGGAUACAUCCAGGCAACCUGCUCUAGCAGAGGAGUUGGACUAAGUGAUCUCUAGAGGUCCUUUCCAACCACUGCGAUUCUGUGAAGAGAUGUAUUUCCUCUAUACGUUUCUACCUGAAAAAUGUUGAAAAGGAUGAGUAAUAUGAGUUGAAAUAAAACUUCCUUUUUUGCCUUCCUUGCUCUUUGC